GAAUGCUAAAUGCAAAUAUAAACGUAAAUAUUUUAUUUUAUUUAUUGAAAAAUAUUAAUUUAUUUUAUUUUAUGUUUUGUAUUUUUUUUCAAACACCUUUAAAACUUAAGCAGGACAUUUGGUUUUAAUUUGGAUUUCUGUUCAGUAUAUUAAAGAAAUUAUAAUAUUAGGUGUUUUAUGUCCCUUCUGUCACGGUGUCUGUUCUGUGUCUCCCUGGGUGGCCACUAGAGGUCUCACUUCCCCUUAUCGUCACUCCACUUUAGAACUGCAUUUCCCGUAGUCUUGUCUGUUUCAUCACUGCUCAUUGCACUCAGCUGUCCGUGGUUAUCAAUCAUUGCACUCAGCCAAUUCCCCGUUAGCAUCGUCAUUUCCCUGUGUAUAAAUACCCCGGUUGUUCUGUCAUUGUCACGGAGUCCUUGUUGAAUGUCACCCUGGUUUGUCGUGGUUCUCGGAUGUUGUUUAUGUUUCUUGUUUCUGGACUGCUUACCUGGAUUGUGACCUUUGCCUGGCUGACCAUGAGAUUUGGAUUAUCCUAAUAAAACAUACUGCAAUUGGAUCUACCUGUUUGUGUGCGUGUCGUGACAGAAGGACUCCGUCAUGCCUAGAUCCAGCGGUGUGGGAUUUCGAAUCGGUUCCCCAGCCACCAUGGAGGAACGGAGGGGGAGAUUCCGGAACUUAACCACCCUUCGUCAAAGGGGGAGUGAGGUGGGUGGCCUGGCGCAAUUGUUUUGGACCAUGGCGGUCGGGAUGGGUUAUAAUGAUGCAGCACUGAAGGACUUUUUUAACAACUGUCUGGAUGACCCUUUACCUCAAUGGGAGAUGAAGGGGCUGGAGAUCCUAGACUUUUGGGGGUUUACCCAUUACCUGUGCCAUCGUGCUCAAUGGGAUACUUCGACCACACCUGUGUCUCCAGAGAAGAGGGCCGCCAGCCCAGCGCCACAGCACAAGAUGGCCACCAACCCGGCGCCACAGCACAAGAUGGCCGCCAGCCCAGCGCCACAGCACAAGAUGGCCGCCAGCCCAGCGCCACAGCACAAGAUGGCCGCCAGCCCAGCACCACAGCACGAGAUGACCACCAGCCCAGCACCACUGCACAGGAGGGUCGAAUCUACACCUGUGUUGGCAGACAAGAUGGUUGACUCAACGCCUGAGUCUUCCGUCAAGGAGCCACCGGCACGUCAUCAUAGAGGCCGCAGGAGGAGGAGACAGGCGUCAGCCAUUCCUCAAAGCCCGGAGGACGUUCCCGAGCAGGCCGCUGCCGUCCAGGAGGACGUUCCCGAGCAGGCCGCUGCCGUCCAGGAGGACGUUCCCGAGCAGGCCGCGGUCGUCCAGGUGAAUGUGGCAGGGAGCUCAUUGUUUGCACUGUGCCAUGCAUUUGGCUUUCUCUCUUGAUCUAUUGUCUGCAUUAUUCAUUGUUUUCAUACAGUUGGGUAGGAUAAACAAUCACAGGCAACAUUGUAAGCCUCAAAACAGUCUUCCCAAUAGAAUUUCACAUGUCAAGGACAUCUGCGCAAGAUUGCAAGUUAUAACAUGUUUGUAACCUAUAACAAUAACGUAUACAUAAUGGAAAGUGUGUAUGUGGAAAAAAAAAGAUACAUAUAUGCACUCUCUCUCUCUCUCUCUCUCUCUCUCUCUCUCUCUCUCUCUCACACACACACUCACGUGUGUGUGUGUGUGUAUAUAUAUAUAUACAGUACAGACCAAAAGUUUGGAAACAUUACUUUUUAAUGUUUUUGAAAGAAGUUUCUUCUGCUCAUCAAGCCUGCAUUUAUUUGAUCAAAAAUACAGUAAAAACAGUAAUAUUGUGAAAUAUUAUUAAAACUUAAAAUAAUAGCUUUCUAUUUGAAUGUACUUUAAAAAAAUAAUUUAUUCUUGUGAUGCAAAGCUGAAUUUUCAGUAUCAUUACUCCAGCCUUCAGUGUCACAUGUAACAUCCAGUCUAUCACAUGAUCAUUUAGAAAUCAUUCUAAUAUUCUGAUUUAUUAUGAGUGUUGGAAACAGUUCUGCUGUCUAAUAUAUUUGAUGAAUAAAAGGUUAAAAAGAACUGCAUUUUUUCAAAAAAAAUAAAAAUAAAAUUCUAAUAAUAUAUAUUCUAAUAAUAUACUUUCUUUACUAUCACUUUUUAUCAAUUUAACACAUCCUUGCUGAAUAAAAGUAUUGAUUUUAUUUAAAAAAAAGAAAGAAAAAAAAAAUUACUUACCCCAAAUUACUGACCAGUAGUGUAUAUUGUUAUUACAAAAAUAUUUAUAUUUUUAAAAAAACAUAGCUUCUACUUUUUUUAUUCAUCAAAGUAUCCUAAAAAAGUAUCACAUGUUCUGAAAAAAUAUUAAGCAGCAGAACUGUUUCCAACUGUGAUAAUGAAUCAUCAUAUUAGAAUGAUUUCUAAAGGAUCAUGUGAUAAUGAUCCUAAAAAUUCAGCUUUGCAUCACAGAAAUAAAUGAUAAUUUAAAGUAUAAUAAAUUUAAAAACAAUUAUUUUAAAUUGUAAUAAUAUAUCACAAUAUUACUGUUUUUUUCUGUAUUUUCGAUCAAAUAAAUGCAGGCUUGAUGAGCAGAAGAAACUUCUUUCAAAAACAUUAAAAAUAGUAAUUUUUCCAAACUUUUGGUCUGUACUAUAUAUAUAUAUAUAUAUAUAUAUAUAUAUAUAUAUAUAUAUAUAUAUACACACACACACACACACACACACACACACACACACACACACACACACACAGUGUAAACAUUUAAAAAUGUGUUUUGUUAAAGAUGUAAAUCUUUUUUUUUAUAAUUAACUUUUUAGUAAAUAAACAAAAAAUAAAUAGCAUUAUAAAUAAUUUUAUACUAUAAAACUUUAAUCCUU
ensembl:lncRNA